rnacentral:lncRNA from 1 species
GGGGUGUGUGUGUGUGGUACAUCUAUAGUGUAUGGUGUGUGUGUGAUGUGUGUGGUGUGUGUCCGUGGUGUGUGUGCGUGGGGGUGUGUAAGCCACUGUCUCGGAGAUCAUUUUUCUCGAAUAUCUCUACAGAUCGAGACCUGUCGGGAGGUUUUCCCGGCCUCUGCGAUGGCUCCUCCGCGGCUCCCCGGCAUUGUUUCCGCGGCCCAGCUUAAGCCUGUCCUCAGCGAUUUGCCGCCCCACUGCACCCGAGCUCAAUGCCAGCCCCUCACACAAAGGCCACAUUCACUUCAUCUACAGGAUUCCCGUAACGCCAGCAGUCUGCCCCACAAAGGCUGGCGCUGCAAUUUUCCACUCCAGGGCCCCGCGGGGCUCGCACACAAAUCCGCCUGCGUAGGGCGGACGGGGCAUUGUUGCUGCUCAGCGGGGAAUGUGGCUGAGCUAAGCCCUCGCCCUGCUUCUCCUCGAGGUCAGCAGGUUACACAGGAUGGUCCCCUGCAGACCCCCGAGCUGCCCUCAGAGUGGAACGUGGGGCCGGUCAUGUCCCGCCAGCCCUUUCCAGAACAAAGCCAGCAGGCAGAGUGUGCCAUAGACCCCCGAGGCCCUCCGAGGCUGGAGUUAAGUUGGGGAGAGGAUCCUCUUUCGGGGGUUUAGAGAUAAUUCUGUCCCACAGCACACACUGGGCGCUCACCACUGCCAGGACGUGCAGGUCAUGGGUGACGGGGACAGAGCCAGUGACGUCCCGCCCUCCCCCUGCGGGCCAGCACCUGGUGCGCCCAUCACGGGGUAUUACUUUUACGGUGGCGGCAAAUGCUACUUCAUUGAGUUUAUUUUUAUCAUGAAAAUUUUUACACAGUCUCAAAAGUAGAGACCAUGGAACAAUGAGCCCUUCACAUACUCCUCAGCCAGAUCCAACAAUCAGGAGGAUUUUGCGCUGCUUCCCGCUUCUCUUGGUUUUUUUUCUUUACUGGAGUAUUUUAAAGCAAAGCACAGACGCCACGUCAUUUCACCCCCGCGCACUUCAGGUAUCACACUCACGGGCAUGCAGCGUCCCCCGGGUGCUCGGAUUCCUUGGUGAUCUCCUCCGGCCUCACGAGCGUGGUAGGCAUUUUGUUUUUUUUCUCAUCCCUCUUCUUGUUUAUUUGUCUCCACCUUUUUCUUCAUUAAUUGGGGCAGUUUAUCAAUUUUAUUAGAUUUUGGCUUCGUUGAUCC